ACUGCACCUCCAACAGAUUAGGUUCAGCAUUCUGCAGACCGAGGCUUGAAGGCAUGUUGUGAACUGGAUUCUGGCUCUCUAAUGGAAAUCAUUAGUCACCUGACUCGUCCCAGUAGAUUUGGAAAAGCACCAUCGCAUUUAUCAGGCCGGCUGAAGGUCUGAGCCAGCGCGCUGAUGUCUGCAAUCACGAGGAUGGAUUUCACUUCCGCCACGGGAGAGGCACGGCCCGGGAGCCUCGUUGUUAUUCUGGUGCUGCCUGGAGAACCUGGCUGUGUAUUCAUGACAGGAAUUAGCAACCUGCCUCGGGAAUAAUCGCCACGGGCCCCGCCUUGUGUGUGCCUGUGCUGCGAGGUCAGUGACACAUCCUGGGGGCCUGGACAUCCACAGCUGCCGCUGCUUCCAACAAGCUGCUAACCAUCAAAUCCAUCUCGCUCUGGUGUGGGUAAAGAGUGCUGUGAGCUCCUCAUCCCCUUCUCAGGAGAGGAAGGGGCAACAGCAGUCUGUCUGUCCCUGCACAUCCACAGCCAGGGCGUGUCCUGUCCCUUCUGGCACUGGGAGAGCUGGGCACUGCCCUGUCUGUGCCUCACUCAUUGUUCAUGCGGAUCUGACUGCGGUGGGAGGAACACGCCUCAGCUCCACUGCAAACCAAAUGAAGUCUGCUCUUUGCAUCUGGACAUUUUUCCUUCUCAGAUGGGUGAUCCUCUAGCUGUAGCAACCCCUUGCAACUCCCCCAGACAUUUAAAACUGAGCCUGUGAUAUUGAUGUGAAGAAAAUGUGAACUUGAAUGACCCAUGUCCCACAUGCACACGAGACUUUGGGUGGGUAAGACUGAGGGGCCAGGCCCUAAAAGCUGGUUUGUUUGGGGUUUUUGUAUCUGUCGGUGCUUCACGGUCUAUGCAGCCUGGAAAGUGGAAGCCAGGCUUUGUUAUUCUCUACCACAAUGCUCCUAAAUGCUCCUUCUGCUGUGUUCCCCAUUGCAGGGUCAUGAGCAGGGAUGUGGCAGCAAGAGGGAACAUUGUCUGGCUCUCAUGAUGUUGAUUAAAACAGUCUGAAUGUACUGUGAUGAAAAGAGUAUUGAAACAAGCUGUGAAGCCUACAAAAUAAUUUGAUUCACAUUUUAUAAUGCAAGUUAAACCAUAGUUCAAGUAAUUUUAAAGCUAUGCCUAAAUAAUUUUGUUUUAAAAUCCAUCUUUUGCAAUUCAUUAUAGGCAAAAGCCUUAGUUAGUUGUCUGGCUGUCUGAUCUGUGAGGUCAGCAAUUGACAGCCUUACACACUGUAUGAAAUAUGACUGUAAAUUAAAGAGCAUCUUAAAACUGUUUCCUAGAUACCCAGUUGUUUGCCUUGGAAAAUGAGCAAAAGGUUUCAAAUGCCUGAUGUUAAAUUUGAAACUCCUAUGCAUUUCACGUUUGAAGGUGUCCUAAACUUCUAUAGUUUUAACAUAAUUAAACAGAAGUGUAAUAUUGUUUACUAAAAUCAUAUAAACAGUCA